rnacentral:rRNA from 1 species
UCAAUAUAAAUUGAUUUAAUAAUUAUUAAUUAAUUUUUUUUUUAAAAAAAAUAAAUAUUAAAAAUAAUUAUAAAAUUUUAAAGUUUUAGUAUUUUAUAAAGAAAAAAUAAUUUUAAUAAUAGUUUAUUAGUAUUGUAAAAUAAAAUUGAAAUAUAAUGAAAAAUUUUUAUUUAUAAAGAAAAUUUAAUUUAUUGUAUCUUGUGUAUCAGAGUAUAUUAAAUAAAAAAUAUAUAUAAAUAUUUUUCUCGAUUUUAAAAGAUUUAAUAAAUUAUAAAUGUUAAUGUGAUAAAAUUAUAUUUAAUAAUUUAUUAGAAAUGAAAUGUUAUUCGUUUUUAAAGGUAUCUAGUUUUUUAAGAAAUAAAUUUAAUUUAAUAUUCAAAAUUUAAUUAUUUAUUUAUUUAAUAAAUUAAUUUUUGAAAAUUAAUAUUUUAUGGGAUAAGCUAUAAAAUAAAUUUUUAUAAAUAAUAAAUAAUAUAUAAAAUUUUAUAUGUUUAAAAGUAUCAAUUUUUAUUAAGUUUGUUAUAAAUUAAUUUUUUUUAAUAAAUUAUUUAUUAUAUUUUAAAUUUUUAUUAAAAUAUUUAUUAAAAUAUUAAAAAUAAAGAAAUAAUGAUAUAAUUAGUAUAUUUUUUUGUAAUAAUAUAUUUAAAAAUGAAAAGUUUAUGUAAAGAAUUCGGCAAAAAUAAUGUUCGCCUGUUUAACAAAAACAUGUCUUUUAGAAUUUAAUUUAAAGUCUGACCUGCCCACUGAAUUUAUUUUUAAAUGGCCGCAGUAUAUUAACUGUGCAAAGGUAGCAUAAUCAUUAGUCUUUUAAUUGAAGGCUGGAAUGAAUGGUUGGACGAAAUAUUAACUGUUUCAUUUAAAUUUAUAAUAGAAUUUUAUUUUUUAGUCAAAAAGCUAAAAUAAAUUUAAAAGACGAGAAGACCCUAUGAAUCUUUAUAUUUAAUAUAUUUUAAUUUUGUAGAUUAUUUUAAUUAUAAUAUUAUUUUUAUAUUUUAUUGGGGUGAUAUUAAAAUUUAAAUAACUUUUAAACUUUAAAUCAUUGAUUUAUGAAUAAAUGAUCCAUUUUUAAUGAUUAAAAAUUUAAGUUACUCUAGGGAUAACAGCGUAAUUUUUUUGGAGAGUUCAUAUCGAUAAAAAAGAUUGCGACCUCGAUGUUGGAUUAAGAAAUAGUUUUAGGUGUAGCCGUUUAAAUUUAAAGUCUGUUCGACUUUU